UUUUUUUUUUUUUUUUUUUUUCUGUUUGUUUGUUUUUGUUUUUGUUGUUCUGCCCAAUGUGAGUUUUGGGCCCAUCCUGGGGCAGCCCUUAGCUCUCCCUGGCUGCUGCACACUCGGUGUGGUUCUGGGAUGUCACCAUGUGGUCAGUGCCAUCUGGGGUCUACAGGUACUUGCAUGUGUGACUUCAGCAACUGGUUCAUAAAUCUUCCCAAAUACAUCUUGUAUCAAAAGAAAAAUGCUGUGUUGUACUGCAGAGACUGUACCUGGCACACAGUGUUAGUGUUUUUAUCUUGUGCAUGAAUGUACAGUGGGAACAACUUAAUAGUGGGAACAACAAGAGAAAUUCCUGUGUGUCAGAAAAGAGGCUGACCCUGAUCAUCUUUGUGGACAUACAUUCCAAAUCUGUCUUUUUUUCCUAGGACCUAGUGUUUAACUUCCCUCAUUGUAAAGCUCUUCUGAAUGAUCGCAAUUCUCUAUUGAUACGACACAAAUGGUUACAGGAGAUUUUCACAACCUCUUGAUAAUGAAAUCUCUUAGUUUGCUGUGUCAAGAGGAUUUGUCAGUGUGAUGUUUCUGUGUCCUGUUGUCUAAGGAUGCAUUAUCUUCUCCCACUGCAGAAGUGAUUGCUUCUUCCAGAGGGUAAGUUCACAUUGCCAUCUGCUUCUGGCAGGGACUUGUUUCUCCCCAAAUACCAAACAGGAUUUCUCUCAAGUCUGUCAAGUACUUGAGCCUUUUUUUCCCAUGAAAGUUAUAACUAUCAAAAUCAGACCAGUUGAUGAAAAGGCUGUAUCCUGCUAUCUUUUGGGAACUUUGCUAUUUAAUGUUUAUUUUUACAAUGUGCUUCUGGUUUAGUUUUUUUUUUUUUUAAUUGUCUUUAAUACUUAGUAUUAUUUACAGGUUAAUGUUCAUUUGCUUUAUUCCAAUCCUUUUACCUUCUGUAGGUUGAGGCCACUUUUGUUUAUUUCUCCUUUUAUUCUCUUCCAGCACAGAAAAGAUAUCAAAUAAAGCCAGUUCCAGAUGGUAUUUUCCAGUCCUGCAUUAACCCUAUGGCUUUACAGUUGAACCCUGCAGUGAAUUUCACACAAAGUUGAUACUUCUCCUUUUGUACUGCCAUGUCUGUAACCAUUUCUGUGCUGCAAACCUUCAGCCUGCAGAUGACUCACAUGGCUCCAGCCAUGAUGCAGGAAUGUGUCUCAUAGCCACAUCCUUUCCCAGAAACAACAAUCACUGGACUUCUUGAACUCUGAGGGCAACUAUGAGAUGUUGGGAUGGAGAAAGGCAGUAGUAUUUCUCUGUAUGAGCAGUGCUAGAACAGUUUCAGGAGCAUGUGACAUGGAUGUCAAAACAGUCCCUGGUUGUACUGUUCCUCAUAGUUCUACACAGACCUCACAAAACACAGUACAGAUCCCCACUGAGUGAUUCUGGGCAGAAAUGUAACAAUUACUGGUAAAUCCAAUUCAGUCCUUCUGCUGGGCUGGUGGCCUGUGUGGAUGCUUUUGUUGUGGAAUAAAGGCAUCACUGUUUUUUCAUUUGUUUUAAACUCAUUUUAGCAUGGCAUAAGCUAAACCAGAAAAAUCCCUGUGUGUCAGAAAAAUAGGUUGACCCUGAGCAUUGCAUUAGUGGGACAACAGCAGUUUGAGCUCACGCUGUGGCUUGCCAUUGCUCUGCUCCUCUGUGUAAGCUGGUCUUUGAACUGGUGACAAGACCUAGUCCAGCUUAGCUGCUUGUCUGGGGUUAUGGGGUUGGCAGUAUUUUCCUCCCUUCCUCACUUGUUGGAGAAAGAUCAGAGAAGGACCACUACGAUGAUUAGAGGAGCGGAGCACCUCCGUGUAUGAGAAAAUGCUAAGAGAAUUGGGAUUGUUCAGCCAAGAGAUGAGAAUAGCCUGUGGUGACCUUAUUGUGGUCUUCAAGUACCUGGAGAAAGUUGAAAAGAACGAUGGAGAGAAAUUUUAUACCAAGGGCACAUAGUGACAGAACAAAGGGGAUUUAGGUUAGAGUUAGGUUUGGAUGAGAAAUUAGUAGGAAAUUCUUUACCGCCAGGGUGGUGAGGCACUAGAACAGGUUGCUUAGAGAAGUUGUGGAUGCCCCAUCACUGACUUUGUUCAACGCCAGGUUGGAUGGGGCUUGGAGCAACCUGGUGUAGAGGAAGGUGUCCCUGCUUAUGACAGGGGAUUGGAAGUAGAGGAUCUUUUAGGUCUUGUCCAACCCAAACCAUUCUAUGAUUUGAUGAUGACAAUGAUACAAAGCAAAACCAAGAGGAAAAGAAAGCAGCAAGCUCUGUAUCUCUGGAGAUGUUGGGGCAAGAAUAUCAAUGCUCCUCUGCCAUAUAUGGGCACAUCUCAAGGAGAAACAAGAAACAAUAAAUCCUCUGUCUCUCAAAGCUAUUUUUCUUUUCAUCCUGCACUUCUACAUCGUUGACUGUAUUCUUAGCACUUGUUCCCAGUGAUGGAGCACUCUGCCUACCACCUCUCUCCCCUAAUUUUGCUCUUUCUUCCACAACCUCUGCCUUUGCAUCAGGGAUGCAACCCCUGAAGUAGAACAGGAGAAAAAUCUUGCUGGUGGGAAGGGUGCUGGCACUUUGUUGUUUUCUUCCCAGAAAAACCUUCUGGGAUACAUCCAAGAUAAUAUCAUGUGCCAUUUCUGUUAUCUUGAGUGUCUUUCAUGUUAAAAAAGCUGUCCUCAGGCUGAACCUGCAGCUCCCAGGUUUCAUUAAAAUGAUAACAGUGUUCACAUAAAGUCGCCUUUUCUCUGGUUGCUACCUGUGCUGGAGCAGUGCCAGACAGGUGGAUAUCCCUCUCUGAGUGCAGUUACGGUGCUUGGGAAGGUGACCCUGGCACAAAAGAAAGCCAGCCCUGGCAGCUUCUGUGCUGUGGCAGUUGUUGUAUUAUUGCCUCAUCUUUGCUAUUAUAAUUUCUUUGCAGAACAACAGCUACAGAGAGAUGGAUUUUGUUUCAUGCAGUCCCGGGCCUUGUAGUCUGUUUUCCUAAGGAAGUGAAGCUCCUGCUGUCUCACUGUGCGCCCACACCAGUGUGUGCAUCCUUCACUUCAUCCCCUGGUGACUGCUGAACACAUUGGGCAACUCCUACCAAGCCUGCAGACAGGUGUUGAGAGUUGCCUUGUCUCAAGACCAAGUCAAACAGGCACAGCCACCCAGAACUAGUUGGUCUGUGUGAAUGAAGGAAGAACCAGCAAUCUCCUUUUUCCAGGCUCUUCCCAGGAAAAGCCUGACAGGUCACCAUGCAGGCAGUGUUGUGGAUACCUUGGCUGUAUUCUAAGCAAGCUGGAGCUACCAUUUUAAAACCUUCUUCUGAUUCAUGAAGACUAUGAAAUAACUGGUCCCCCAUGUGUCCACGGAGGCACAGCUCUGUCCUGGCUGCAUGUAGUCUCAUACUGAAGGUCUAGGUAUAAAGCUAAUGCAUUCAUAAAGAGACCCUGGGAAGAAAUGCUUGUAUUUUUUAGGAGACAAAAUCUUGUACACUUUUUUUUAAAAUAGGUGUUUUUUCCUCUUUGUUCAGACCACAUUAUAUUGCCUUUCAGGGUGGGAUUAACUGACAAAACCAGCCUAACCCAAGAGCCUUGACCACAAACCCUGGGAAGGAAAUGAGGUUUUGCCAUAGCUAUUUCCUUGCUACCUGCACCCAGAGACAAGAUACUGUGGUGAAAUGUUUACUGUCCUUACUCAGUCAGUAGUUGAGGGUAGAAGUCCAGAUCUAGCAGAGAAAAUAGGUGUCUCCCACACAUUUAUCUCCUGAUGAAGAGCAGAGCCAUCAGCUAGUCCCUGUGGCUCUCUAGAUUGUGCAUGGGGACAGAGAAGUGCCUCCAAACAUGCAAAUCCACAACAUCCUCCUCAGAAACCACAGCCACAGAAAACAGAGAGGAAAAUACAAAGGAGUAAAUCUUAGUUCCUGUUUGUCUCCAGGAGGGGAGAGACUAUCUUUGUGUCACAGAGAGCCACCUUGUUCCAUUCAGGAUAGGCAGCUUGUCCUCAUUUCCCCUAAAUGGAUACCAAGGUGUUUUUUGGGAACUGGCAAAGGAAAAUCACCCUUUGAAGCUAAGCAGCUGGCAGGUGUUUUAUCCUUUUUUCCAAAAAUAAUGCCUGUUAAAAGCUCUCUUCCAUGGCAUGAGAGACCCAGAUCCAGUUAUUGUCAUUUUCAGUGAGGAUCGACACAGACUCUUUCCAUUUUCCACAACAAUGUUGGGACCAACAGGCAAUUAACUAUUGUGAGGGGAGGGCUGGGGAAGCACUUUUGGUCUUUCCUGCUAAACUCAGUCCAUUCUUGCAUUUUCACCAUUGUGUCUGUGGGCUGAUUUAAUGUCAUUUUUGCUGUAAAGGAUAUUUUUGAUUUGGAAUGAAAAUUUUGAUGGAAAAAAUGCCAAUCCUAUUGACAAAUUUUCACCUCCUAGCAGCAGACUAGUCAGUAAUGAAAUUUUCAUUUUAUUAAGAGACCUCAAUGUCAUUUUUAUUAUGAGUGAAAAGAAAAAUACAUGAGAUUUAUCUUUUGUGUCUCAUUUCCAGCCUUAGGGAGAGAAUGUAUCCAGAAGCAACUUUAACUAUCAGUAAAGAAAAAGAGUUAUUUGAAUGUGUUGCAUUAGCUAAUUACUGUUACCUUCUGUGUAUGAAAAAAAAUCUGCAAAGAAUGGGAGAAUUUUGUCAGUGAAGUUUAGCUUUGUAAAAUUUAUGACUACAGAAUUCAAUAAAAUCA
rnacentral:lncRNA from 1 species